CUACGGGAGGCAGCAGUCGGGAAUAUUGCGCAAUGGAGGAAACUCUGACGCAGUGACGCCGCGUAUAGGAAGAAGGUUUUAGGAUUGUAAACUAUUUUAGACAGGGAAGAAAAAUGACAGUACCUGUAGAAUAAGCUCCGGCUAACUACGUGCCAGCAGCCGC
rnacentral:rRNA from 1 species